rnacentral:rRNA from 1 species
AUGGAGGCGGCGGCGGCGGCGAAGACGAGCGUCGUGUGCGUGACCGGCGCAGGAGGCUUCGUCGCCUCGUGGCUCGUCAAGCUCCUCCUCUCCAACUCCAAGGCCCACUACUCCGUCCGCGGCACCGUGCGCGAUCCCGGUGAUGCCAAGAAUGCUCAUCUCAAGGUGCUAGAAGGUGCUGAAGAAAGGUUGCAGCUGGUCAAGGCUGACCUUUUGGACUACGACAGUGUAGCGGCGGCGAUUGCCGGCUGUGAGGGCGUCUUCCAUGUCGCCUGCCCUGUCCCCUCCGGCCGAUCAACCGACCCAGAGACAGAGAUCAUAGCUCCUGCUGUAACAGGCACACUGAAUGUACUGAAGGCCUGCCACGAGGCAAAAGUUAAGCGAGUAGUCAUGGUGUCUUCCGGUGCUGCAGUGGUCGCUAAUCCUAACUGGCCCAAGGGCAAAGCCUUUGAUGAAGAGAGCUGGUCAGACGAGGACCACUGCAGAAAGAAUGGGGAUUGGUAUUACCUUUCCAAAACACUAGCGGAGCGCGAGGCUUUUGCUUAUGCAGCAAAAACUGGGUUGGACAUUGUAACUAUUUGCCCAUCAUUGGUAAUUGGACCCUUGAUACAGUCUAGAGUAAAUUCGAGCAGUAAAGUUCUCCUUAAUUAUUUGAAAGGAGAACAUGAUACUGUAGAAAAUAAAAGCAGGGAUAUAGUGGAUGUUCGUGAUGUUGCCGAUGCUAUUCUUCUGGCAUAUGAGAAUCCAGAGAUGUCCGGACGGUACAUAUGUAAUUCACCUGCAAUAAGAGUCUCUGAUAUGAUAAAUAUACUGGAGACUUUAUAUCCAACCUACAUAUAUCCCAAAAGCAUUACGGAAGUGGAAGACAAUCUUAUUUAUAGUUCAGAGAAACUUCAGAAGCUAGGGUGGACCUUCAGGCCUGUAGAGAAGACCCUCGGAGACAGUGUCGAAUCCUACAAAGCUUCUGGCAUCCUGAACUGA